UACGGAAGGCAGCAGGGGGAAUAUUGCACAAUGGGCGCAAGCCUGAUGCAGCCAUGCCGCGUGUAUGAAGAAGGCCUUCGGGUUGUAAAGUACUUUCAGUCGUGAGGAAGGUGUUAAGGUUAAUAACCUUAGCAAUUGACGUUAGCGACAGAAGAAGCACCGGCUAACUCCGUGCCAGCAGCCGCGGUAAUACGGAGGGUGCGAGCGUUAAUCGGAAUUACUGGGCGUAAAGGGCACGCAGGCGGUUAAUUAAGUUGGAUGUGAAAUCCCCGGGCUUAACCUGGGAAUGGCAUUCAAGACUGGUUAGCUAGAGUCUUGUAGAGGGGGUGAAUUCCAUGUGUAGCGGUGAAAUGCGUAGAGAUGUGGAGGAAUACCGGUGGCGAAGGCGGCCCCUGGACAAAGACUGACGCUCAUGUGCGAAAGCGUGGGGAGCAAACAGGGAUUAGAUACC
rnacentral:rRNA from 1 species